AUACGCUGUGCGGCAGCACAGGUACAACUUCCCCAAAGUUGCUCCUCACUUUCUUAACACAGUUGAGUUGAGCGUCAAGCCGGUGCGAGAGCAAACACCGAGGACGUCUAAGUUCCCUUCGUCUCUCCUUCCUCAUGGUAUCGUUCUGGUGAACGGCGUGGAGGAGACGAGGGACGGUGGUCCAUACAUUUAUUCUCAGAUGUAGAUGUUCCCGACUAAUUAGCAAGCAAUCAUUGCAAUACCCAUUAUGUUCUGCGGUCCUGUAUUGAAAAUGUGUUCCACUAAAGAGUAGACUUCAUGUCUGCAAGCCUUUCCGAGAUUCAGACAUAUCCAUUCGUGUUCAUGAGUUCCUCAUUUUACUUUACGCAGCAGUGCAAGAUCUUCCAAUGACGCGUUGAAGUCCCAGUCUGUAAUAAUAUCGCUAGUGUAUGUACAAUCGGGAUAGUGAUAACAACAAGUUCAUUGGAAUAGCGUAGCGCAUACUAGCAAAGGUAUGUUCAAUAGCGUCUCACCAAAGCACUGCGGCGUUGCUGGACGUGUGCAAUAUCUCCCCAUC